GAAAGAACAAUUUUAAAAGGUGGUUCUUUUAUUUUUGUUACUCUAUUUUAUUUAUUUGUUUUAAAAAAACAUAAAAUAAAAAAAGAAAUUGAAAACUUACCGAGUCGUUUCGUGUUCCACCGCCGCGAGUGGACAAGGACACUGUCUCCGAUGAUGGACUGCUCCUUUCGGUGAGACCUCCGAAUCGCUUUUCGUUCGUCUAAGG
rnacentral:lncRNA from 1 species